UGGGGAAUUUUGGACAAUGGGCGAAAGCCUGAUCCAGCAAUGCCGCGUGUGUGAAGAAGGCCUUCGGGUUGUAAAGCACUUUUGUCCGGAAAGAAAUCCUUGGCUCUAAUACAGUCGGGGGAUGACGGUACCGGAAGAAUAAGCACCGGCUAACUACGUGCCAGCAGCCGCGGUAAUACGUAGGGUGCAAGCGUUAAUCGGAAUUACUGGGCGUAAAGCGUGCGCAGGCGGUUUGCUAAGACCGAUGUGAAAUCCCCGGGCUCAACCUGGGAACUGCAUUGGUGACUGGCAGGCUAGAGUAUGGCAGAGGGGGGUAGAAUUCCACGUGUAGCAGUGAAAUGCGUAGAGAUGUGGAGGAAUACCGAUGGCGAAGGCAGCCCCCUGGGCCAAUACUGACGCUCAUGCACGAAAGCGUGGGGAGCAAACAGGAUUCAGAUACCCUGGUAGUCCACGCCCUAAACGAUGUCAACUAGUUGUUGGGGAUUCAUUUCCUUAGUAACGUAGCUAACGCGUGAAGUUGACCGCCUGGGGAGUACGGUCGCAAGAUUAAAACUUAAAUGAAUUGAC
rnacentral:rRNA from 1 species